rnacentral:misc_RNA from 1 species
GUAGAAACACAAAUGAAGCCUUUGUUUGUUCUUAAAAAUCAAUCUUACUGAUGUCCUUCUGAAAAUCUGACAUAGUCACUGAUGGUAGAAAGGAUUUCUGGGCGUUAGGCGUCCUUGAAUCCUGGAAGCACAAAAGAAUGUUUAGCAUGGAGCUGGAUUUGGUUCCAGUGACUUCAUUUUUAUGUAGGAGCUAGAGAGAGAUUCAAAUAAAAAUUUUAGUCUUGAGUAUUUACAGGAUUUGUAACGUCAUACCUGUGUACAUAGAAUAAGGAGAGUUUUUGUAAGAGUUGCAGAGUGUUUAGGGUUUUAGGCUCUUCACUAGAAAGUGCUGAGGCCACUGAAGUGUGGUGAACUGUUAAUCAUUAAAUUAGUCAUUUAUUUGUGAUUUUUUAAGAGGGCAUACCUGAAAGUUGGAAUUUUGGAUUCAGAAUUGUUAUGCAUCCCCAUGCUAUGAAUAUUCUGUUACAGUUAGUCAGCUCUGGUAAUACUUCCCAAGUCUUCUGUCCGAGGACCUGGGUCUACACUCUAGAUUCAUUUCAUCUGAUCAGAUUUUUGCAUUGACUACAACAUUGCUGCUUUGUCUUUCAACUUGUUCAGCUUCCAUGUGUAAGCAUCUCAGAAGCUGGCAAUCUUCAGUUUCAGCUUGUUUUCCUGCAAGCUCAAGAAAAGGGCUUUUUCUUCUUUUAUUUAUUUUUAAUUCAUCAUCUCUGUGUGCAUGUGCAGAAUGUGAUGUACAAUACGUAUAAACUUCUCCGAUAUGUUUUUCUUCAUACUCUUUCUGGACAUUUAUGAUUUAUCAGUGCUUAAAAUUUAUGCGUUGUUUGGCCAAUAUAAAUUGAAAUUGAAUUUUCUUCAUUGAAGUGGCAUGUAAAUUGAUCAAGCCUUGUGCUGGUUUUUAUUCAAUUUGCAGGGAAAUUGGUUGAAACUGUAG